rnacentral:rRNA from 1 species
UACGAAGGGGGCUAGCGUUGUUCGGAAUUACUGGGCGUAAAGCGCACGUAGGCGGACUACUAAGUCAGGGGUGAAAUCCCGGGGCUCAACCCCGGAACUGCCUUUGAUACUGAUAGUCUCGAGUCCGGAAGAGGUGAGUGGAAUUCCGAGUGUAGAGGUGAAAUCCGUAGAUAUUCGGAGGAACACCAGUGGCGAAGGCGGCUCACUGGUCCGGUACUGACGCUGAGGUGCGAAAGCGUGGGGAGCAAACAGG